rnacentral:rRNA from 1 species
GACGAACGCUGGCGGCGUGCUUAACACAUGCAAGUCGAACGGAAAGGCCCUGCUUUUGUGGGGUGCUCGAGUGGCGAACGGGUGAGUAACACGUGAGUAACCUGCCCUUGACUUUGUGAUAACUUCAGGAAACUGGGGCUAAUACCGGAUAGGAGCUCCUGCUGCAUGGUGGGGGUUGGAAAGUUUCGGCGGUUGGGGAUGGACUCGCGGCUUAUCAGCUUGUUGGUGGGGUAGUGGCUUACCAAGGCUUUGACGGGUAGCCGGCCUGAGAGGGUGACCGGCCACAUUGGGACUGCGAUACGGCCCAGACUCCUACGGGAGGCAGCAGUGGGGAAUAUUGCACAAUGGGCGGAAGCCUGAUGCAGCAACGCCGCGUGCGGGAUGACGGCCUUCGGGUUGUAAACCGCUUUCGCCUGUGACGAAGCGUGAGUGACGGUAAUGGGUAAAGAAGCACCGGCUAACUACGUG